UUUCCGUAGGUGAACCUGCGGAAGGAUCAUUAGCACUCUGUUGUGAAGAGGGAAGGAAAUUGAACGGGUGUUUAUACCCUCAUCCCUUACUUUUUUACCCUACUAUUCUAUUCUCUAAUCAAACCAUACACAAAACCAAAACAAUAAUAACUGUUAAUAACAACUCUCAGCAACGGAUAUCUUGGCUCGCACAUCGAUGAAGAACGCAGC
rnacentral:misc_RNA from 1 species